UUUCGAUUUAGCGAGCCCGAGAACUCAAACCAGCAGAAAGGAGAAUUAAUGCACCUCGUUGAAGUGAGCGAAUUCUCUGAUCUUGGCAGAUAUGUUAUUUUGAAGCCAUCUGUAAAGGCUAUCUAUGCUCUUUUACUUCAGCACCAUCUUGGAAUUGGCGAUGAUGUAUUGUAAAUUAAAAUGAAAAAGGAAACAGUGUUUUGAAAGUCUCUCAGUAGUUACAAACGCCAUCUUGGCUGCUACCUUCAGACUGUUUAAAGAAAUUAGCUGACUAGAAAAAGCUGAAAAAUUUGGUGAAAUUCUUGCCACCGCCAACGACCGGGAAGGCAGGAAGACUAAGUUUGCCUCAACUGACACAGUUUUGUUUUAGAAACAAUUUAUUGUAUUAAAGAAUACAAUAAAUUAUAGAAAUUAGUAUAUUA